rnacentral:rRNA from 1 species
GACGAACGCUGGCGGCGUGCUUAACACAUGCAAGUCGAACGGAAAGGCCCUGCUUUUGUGGGGUGCUCGAGUGGCGAACGGGUGAGUAACACGUGAGUAACCUGCCCUUGACUUUGGGAUAACUUCAGGAAACUGGGGCUAAUACCGGAUAGGAGCUCCUGCUGCAUGGUGGGGGUUGGAAAGUUUCGGCGGUUGGGGAUGGACUCGCGGCUUAUCAGCUUGUUGGUGGGGUAGUGGCUUACCAAGGCUUUGACGGGUAGCCGGCCUGAGAGGGUGACCGGCCACAUUGGGACUGGGAUACGGCCCAGACUCCUACGGGAGGCAGCAGUGGAGAGUAUUACACAAUGGGCGGAGGCCUGAUGCAGCAACGCCGCGUGCGGGAUGACGGCCUUCGGGUUGUAAUCCGCUUUCGCCUGUGACGAGGCGUGAGUGACGGUAAUGGGUAAAGAAGCACCGGCUAACUACGUG